rnacentral:rRNA from 1 species
CCUACGGGUGGCUGCAGUGGGGAAUCUUGGACAAUGGGCGCAAGCCUGAUCCAGCCAUGCCGCGUGAGUGAUGAAGGCCUUAGGGUCGUAAAGCUCUUUCGCCAGAGAUGAUAAUGACAGUAUCUGGUAAAGAAACCCCGGCUAACUCCGUGCCAGCAGCCGCGGUAAUACGGAGGGGGUUAGCGUUGUUCGGAAUUACUGGGCGUAAAGCGCGCGUAGGCGGACCAGAAAGUUAGGGGUGAAAUCCCGGGGCUCAACCCCGGAACUGCCUCUAAAACUCCUGAUCUAGAGUUCGAGAGAGGUGAGUGGAAUUCCGAGUGUAGAGGUGAAAUUCGUAGAUAUUCGGAGGAACACCAGUGGCGAAGGCGGCUCACUGGCUCGAUACUGACGCUGAGGUGCGAAAGUGUGGGGAGCAAACAGGAUUAGAUACCCCGGUAGUC